CCCCNCUGCUAUCGGGAUAGGACUAAGACAUGCUAGUCGAGUGACUCAGGCAAAACGAGUCACGGCACACAGCUCAGUAACACGUGGCUAAUCUGCCCUUGGGACAAGAACAACCCCGGGAAACUGGGGCUAACUCUUGAUAGGCGAAGAACACUGGAAUGUGUCUUCACCCAAAAAACUUCACGUUAUCCUCGUGAAGUCGCCCAAGGAUGAGGCCGCGACCGAUCAGGUUGUUGGCGAGGUAAUGGCUCACCAAGCCUUUUACCGGUGCGGGCCGUGGGAGCGGGAGCCCGGAGAUGGGUACUGAGACAAGGACCCAGGCCCUACGGGGCGCAGCAGUCGCGAAAACUUUGCAAUAAGCGAAAGCUUGACAGGGCUAUCCCGAGUGCCAUCCGCUGAGGAAGGCUUUUACCCAGUCUAGAACGCUGGGGGAAUAAGGAGAGGGCAAGUCUGGUGUCAGCCGCCGCGGUAAUACCAGCUCUCCGAGUGGUGUGGAUGUUUAUUGGGCCUAAAGCAUCCGUAGCUGGCUAAGUUAGUCCCUUGUUAAAUCCACCGAAUUAAUCGUUGGAUUGCGGGGGAUACUGCUUGGCUAGGGGACGAGAGAGGCAGACGGUAUUUUCGGGGUAGGGGUGAAAUCCUAUAAUCCCGGGAAGACCACCAGUGGCGAAGGCUGUCUGCUAGAACGCGCCCGACGGUGAGGGAUGAAAGCUGGGGGAGCGAACCGGAUUAGAUACCCGGGUAGUCCCAGCUGUAAACGAUGCAGGCUAGGUGUUUGGACGGCCACGUGCCGUUCUAGUGCCGCAGGGAAGCUGUUAAGCCUGCCGCCUGGGGAGUACGAUCGCAAGAUUGAAACUUAA
rnacentral:rRNA from 1 species